UACAUAGGGAGCAAGCGUUAUCCGGAAUGAUUGGGCGUAAAGCGUCUGUAGGUGGUUGAAAAAGUCGACUGUCAAAUCCCAAGGCUCAACCUUGGUCCGGCAGUCGAGUACUUUUUAACUUGAGUGUGGUAGAGGUAGAGGGAAUCCCUAGCGUAACAGUGAAAUGUGUAGAUUUUAGGGAGAACACCAGCGGCGAAGGCGCUCUACUGGGCCAAGACUGACACUGAGAGACGAAAGCUAAGGGAGCGAA
rnacentral:rRNA from 1 species